GACGAACGCUGGCGGCGUGCUUAACACAUGCAAGUCGAACGGAAAGGCCCUGCUUUUGUGGGGUGCUCGAGUGGCGAACGGGGGAGUAACACGUGAGUAACCUGCCCUUGACUUUGGGAUAACUUCAGGAAACUGGGGCUAAUACCGGAUAGGAGCUCCUGCUGCAUGGUGGGGGGUGGAAAGUUUCGGCGGUUGGGGAUGGACUGGCGGCUUAUCAGCUUGUUGGUGGGGUAGUGGCUUACCAAGGCUUUGACGGGUAGCCGGCCUGAGAGGGUGACCGGCCACAUUGGGACUGAGAUACGGCCCAGACUCCUACGGGAGGCAGCAGUGGGGAAUAUUGCACAAUGGGCGGAAGCCUGAUGCAGCAACGCCGCGUGCGGGAUGACGGCCUUCGGGUUGUAAACCGCUUUCGCCUGUGACGAAGCGUGAGUGACGGUAAUGAGUAAAGAAGCACCGGCUAACUACGUG
rnacentral:rRNA from 1 species